rnacentral:lncRNA from 1 species
CACGUUCAAUGAAAUGAAGAAGAAGAAACAUAAUCCCCAUUUCAAUGAAAUGAAGAUAAUAAAUUAUUCAAGUACCACAUUCAACCUAUAAUCUUGAACUUAAUUUUAUCUUGGUCACAUAGAUUCAUCAAUGAAGGCUAUAAAUUGGAAUUGAAAAAAUCAAAACAAAAAACAAUUAUUUUUCAUCAACAAUCAAACUUUGCACACGAAAUGAACCCAUUUUCCAAACUCAACUGCUACUAGAAACAACAACCACAUCCUUGCUCUUAGCAUACUCAUUCAAAAUACAAAUCCUAGCAGUUUUAAAAGCAAAAUAACCCAACCUAGAAANNN